GCAUAUCAAUAAGCGGAGGAAAAGAAACCAACAGGGAUUGCCUCAGUAACGGCGAGUGAAGCGGCAACAGCUCAAAUUUGAAAUCUGGCCUCACGGCCCGAGUUGUAAUUUGUAGAGGAUGCUUCGAGCAUGGUCUGGCCUAAGUUCCUUGGAACAGGACGUCAUAGAGGGUGAGAAUCCCGUAUGCGGCCAGGUGCCUACGCUCAUGUGAAGCUCCUUCGACGAGUCGAGUUGUUUGGGAAUGCAGCUCAAAAUGGGUGGUAAAUUUCAUCUAAAGCUAAAUAUUGGCCAGAGACCGAUAGCGCACAAGUAGAGUGAUCGAAAGAUGAAAAGCACUUUGGAAAGAGAGUUAAACAGUACGUGAAAUUGUUGAAAGGGAAGCGCUUGCAACCAGACUUGCGUGCGGCCGAUCAUCCGGUGUUCUCACCGGUGCACUCGGUCGCGCUCAGGCCAGCAUCGGUUUUGGUGGUUGGAUAAAGGCCCUAGGAAUGUAGCUUCUCUCGGGGAGUGUUAUAGCCUAGGGUGCAAUGCAGCCCACCGGGACCGAGGACCGCGCUUCGGCUAGGAUGCUGGCGUAAUGGUUGUAAGCGACCCGUCUUGAAACACGGACCAAGGAGUCUAACAUCUAUGCGAGUGUUUGGGUGUCAAACCCAUACGCGUAAUGAAAGUGAACGGAGGUGAGAACCCUUAAGGGUGCAUCAUCGACCGAUCCUGAUGUCUUCGGAUGGAUUUGAGUAAGAGCAUAGCUGUUGGGACCCGAAAGAUGGUGAACUAUGCCUGAAUAGGGUGAAGCCAGAGGAAACUCUGGUGGAGGCUCGCAGCGGUUCUGACGUGCAAAUCGAUCGUCAAAUUUGGGCAUAGGGGCGAAAGACUAAUCGAACCAUCUAGUAGCUGGUUCCUGCCGA
rnacentral:rRNA from 1 species